rnacentral:tRNA from 1 species
GCUCGGUUAGCUCAGCGGUAGAGCACUUCGUUCACACCGAAGGGGUCACUGGUUCAAAUCCAGUACCGAGCACCA